CACGUAGGGCGCAAGCGUUGUCCGGAAUUAUUGGGCGUAAAGAGCUCGUAGGCGGUUUGUCGCGUCUGCUGUGAAAACCCGAGGCUCAACCUCGGGCCUGCAGUGGGUACGGGCAGACUAGAGUGCGGUAGGGGAGAUUGGAAUUCCUGGUGUAGCGGUGGAAUGCGCAGAUAUCAGGAGGAACACCGAUGGCGAAGGCAGAUCUCUGGGCCGUAACUGACGCUGAGGAGCGAAAGCGUGGGGAGCGAACAGG
rnacentral:rRNA from 1 species